AAUAUCGUUACAUUACAUAUCUAUACAUCAUUAUACAAUCUGUCAUGUCCACAUUCUAACUAUUACAUACAUAUGACUUCAUUACUCUUCUUGACUUCUUUGUCUAACCCGUACCUGCAAACCUGGGGAAUUUGGGAGAGGGGUGAGCUACUAGAGCCCAGUGAGCAGAAUCAUAAAGCAUUUAAAACACAUGCUAUCAUGGAAUGCAUCACAUCACAACUAAUCAUAUCAAGGAUGAACUUGUCACCAUUUAGCCCUCUACAUAUUCCAAUUAUGCCAGGGGCGUAGUGCAGGCCACACCUGGUCUUUCUCUUAUACAUAACAUAACAUAACAUACAUAAUCCAU
rnacentral:lncRNA from 1 species